GAGCUUUCAAGCACUCUACUAGCUAGCUUCUAGUAAAUCCCUCUAAACUCCCAAGGAAAAGAGGCAUCAAUGGCUUCCUCCAUCGUCUCAUCCGCGGCUGUUGCCUCUGUGAACAGGGCCUCCCCUGCUCAAGCUAGCAUGGUAGCACCCUUCACUGGCCUGAAAUCCGGCGCCGCCUUCCCCAUCACUCGCAAGAACAACGACAUCACCACUCUGGCCAGCAAUGGUGGAAGAGUUCAGUGCAUGAAGGUGUGGCCUCCACUUGGAUUGAAGAAGUUCGAGACCUUGUCUUACCUUCCUCCACUCACUCAAGCACAAUUGGGAAAAGAAGUUGAUUACCUUAUUCGCCUGGGAUGGAUUCCUUGCUUAGAAUUCUCUGUUCAGGGAGGAUUUGUGUACCGUGAACACAAUAAAUCGCCAGGGUACUACGAUGGGCGAUACUGGACAAUGUGGAAGCUACCCAUGUUUGGAUGCACAGAUUCAUCCCAAGUGUUGAAGGAGGUUGAGGAGUGCAAGAAGGAAUACCCACAAUCAUUCAUCCGUAUCAUUGGAUUCGACAACAAGCGCCAAGUGCAGUGCAUCAGUUUCAUCUGCUACAAGCCUCCUGGCUUCUAAAUUUACAUAAUCACUUACUUUCCCUCUUGUUUUCUCGUUAGAUCGAUGGCUGUGUUUUUCUGUCAAAGACUUUGCAAUUGUCGCUUUUCAUUUUCACUUUGUGUUUGGUUAUAUUGGAUCUGAAUGCUAUGAAUAAG
rnacentral:misc_RNA from 1 species